UUUUAAAAACAUCGCCUCUUGCAAACUUAAUAAAUAAGAGGUCCCGCCUGCCCUGUGACUAUUAGUUUAACGGCCGCGGUAUUUUGACCGUGCGAAGGUAGCGCAAUCACUUGUCUUUUAAAUGGAGACCUGUAUGAAUGGCAUAACGAGGGCUUAACUGUCUCCUCUUUCCAGUCAAUGAAAUUGAUCUUCCCGUGCAGAAGCGGGAAUAAUAACAUAAGACGAGAAGACCCUAUGAAGCUUUAGACACCAAGACAGAUCAUGUUAAACACUCCUUAAUAAAGGACUAAACCAAAUGAACCCUGCCCUAAUGUCUUUGGUUGGGGCGACCGCGGGGAAACAAAAAACCCCCACGUGGAAUGGGAGCACCCCUCCUACAACUAAGAGCCGCAGCUCUAGUUAACAGAACUUCUGACCAGUAAGAUCCGGCAAUGCCGAUCAACGAACCGAGUUACUCUAGGGAUAACAGCGCAAUCCCCUUUUAGAGCCCAUAUCGACAAGGGGGUUUACGACCUCGAUGUUGGAUCAGGACAUCCUAAUGGUGCAGCCGCUAUUAAGGGUUCGUUUGUUCAACGAUUAAAGUCCUACGUGAUCUUUCACGACACUGGAUAUUUGCUUACUCUGCAUUGUGACUGGCAAACAGGUGUAUGCAUGAGAACUUAAAGCUGAGAGUAUGAGACGCUGGAAGUUUUCUUUUCCUCUCCCCUCCCCCCUCUUUUAGAUCGUGCCGUAGGUGGAGAGGAGUAACAAGAAGCAGUCUGCUUCGCAAAAUGACGAACGAAUGACGAUUGAUAGAUCUG
rnacentral:rRNA from 1 species